rnacentral:rRNA from 1 species
AAUUAUAAUUUUUUUAAAAAAAAUUAGAUUUUUAAUAGAGAUUUUUUUUUAAUCAUAUUGUUUUACCUUUUGUAUAAGUGUUUUAUGAAAAGUAAAUAAAUUUUAACUCCCGAAAUUAACAGAUAAAAAAAAUAAAAUUUUUAACGUAGCAUAGUUAUAUUUUUAUUAUUUUUUAGGAACGAAAAAUUUUCAUUGUUAAAGAUAACUGGAUAUUAUAAAAAAGUAUUUAGUACUUAAGUCAUUUAAAAAGUUUUUAGAUUUUUUAAAGAAAGUAUUUUUAUUUAUUUAAAAAAUUCUUUUUGAAAUAAUUUUUAUAUUUGUUUUUUUAAAAAACAUUUUUUAUAAACUAUAUCUUAUAUUUUUAUAAUAUUUUUAAAAAACUUUAUUAAAAAUUUUUUAUGUAAAAAUUAGUAAUACUAUAAAAUAAUGUUAAGGAAUUCGGCAAAUUUAUAUUUCAACUGUUUAUCAAAAACAUAGUUUAAAGAAAAAAUUUUAAAUGAAUCCUGCCCAGUGAGUAUUUUAAAUGGCCGCAGUACCUUGACUGUGCUAAGGUAGCAUAAUCAAUUGGCUUUUAAUUAGAGUCUGGAAUGAAUGGAAUAAUGAAGUAAUACUGUCUUAACUAUAUUUUUAUAAAAUUAUUUAUAAGGUGAAAAUACCUUAUUUUAGAAAAAAGACGAGAAGACCCUUAGAGUUUUUAAUAAAUAAAUACUAGUAUUUAUAGUUUUUUGUUGGGGCGACAAAUAAACAUUUAAACUUUAUAUUUUUGUAAUAUUACGAUUUUUAUAAAAAAAAUAAAACUACCUUAGGGAUAACAGCAUUAUUUAUUUAUAAGAUUGUGACCUCGAUGUUGGACUAGGAACUUUAUGGCUAGCCGUCAAAUAAGAUUUGUUCUGUUCGAACAAUUAUAUCCUACAUGAUCUGAGUUCAGACCGGCGCAAGCCAGGUCAGUUUCUAUCUUUUUUUUUUCGUUUACAGUACGAAAGGACCUAAAUGG